UUCCACCCUUAUGCCUUGGUCGCCCCCUGUCCCAGCCCCUUGGUUUCAGACUCCCCUUCUCUCUGCCCCUCCCUUUAGGACUGUCGCCUCCUACAGGCUUCCCCACAUUGCCCCUGUGUGGCCUGGGGACCCAAAACUGCCCUCCUACAGAGAGAUGAGAUGCUGGGAAACCCUCUUUGAGUGAGGGCAGGGCACUGGGCCAGUGCUCUGGUGGUGCGAUGAGUGGGGUGAAAAGCCUGCAGAGGAGUGGCCCUAAAGGACAGAGGGCAAAGAUCUAAGACCCAGUCCCUGGAGCUCCAGGCUCCACUCCCACGGUGGGGGGAGCCCCUGGUGAAGGUGCCCGCACCCCCCUUUCUCCUUCUACCCUCCCCGCCCAGCCGCCCCACGGUCGGUCUUGGGUUAUAGCCCAGAACAAGUUUAAGCCUGUGCCUCCAGGUUUAGAUGCAAGUGGCUCCUGGACCACACUUUGGGAAAAUGUAUUGGGGCUGCGAGAAGCAACGCCAGGAGACAAAGCUAGCCAGACCAAAUCCGGGCUCCAGGCCUGCCUGCAGGCAAGUUUCAAGUGCGUUAUCACUUUCCUCUCUGCUCCAAGAGAGGGCUUGAUUAUUAUUACCCUGAAGGCUCAGAGUGGUGAAGUCAUUUGCCUAAGGUCCUACACCCGCUAGAAGGUUAAAGAAGGCAGUUUGGGAGGGGGUAAGGUGUGUGUGUGUGUGUGUAUAAGCAGGAGAUUCAAGGGCCUGGGGGAGAGGGAGGCCAGGACUCCAGGGGGUGGAAGAAGCUGGAGACUUGGGACACAGGAUGGAGUGGGAUGGGUGAGAGCAGGGAUGAGUUGAUUCAGUGAGUUAUGGAGGGGAGAAAGGGACCCCCCCACGGGGUUUGGGGAGAGUGGGCCGGCAGGGAAGAACUAGCCAGGGCCCAGGAUGGGGGAGGGAGGAGAGAGCCAAGACAUUGAGCCCUUUUAAGGCAGCGGGAACCCAGGCCCCCUCCCCCGCCCAGCAGCCAGGCAGGGGAGGGACGGCGGGAUGCUACUCCAGCCACAAAAGGAGUGAUUCUAACCAGAGAGCCAGACCCCUGCCCCCACCUAGGGUCUCAGUUUACCCUGCCAGCCACCUUCACCUUCUGCCAAAGCAGGGCUGAGAGAGUUACUCAGAGCUGUGGGAAGGUGGGGAGAAGGUUCUUCCAGGGACUGAGUGGUCUGGCCUUUGGCCUCCACCAUCUCAUCUGUGAAUGGGAGGAGGGAGAAGAGCAGGGCCUGGGGUAGAAAGAGAUGGACACAAGGGGGAGCAGGAGAAGGCAAAGAGACCGGAAAUAGGGCCAGGGACACGCAGCUCCCAAGGCCCAAGAACCAGCCACCGAGGGGCAGACCAGAGGACGAACAGAGUGGCAGAAUGUCAGAGACAGAGACCUGUGAGCCUGAGUCCUGGGCCAGCGGCGGGUAGGGGCAGAUAAGGAGGCUGGGGUUGAGGCAGCUUCCUCUGCCCUGUCUCCACGGGAAGACCAGACAAGAAGGGGCAUCGUGGGAGAGCUGCAAGAUCUAACUUCCUGGGCACUGGAGUCCAAACACAGGGGAGCCAAGCCAUCUGCGAACACAGCUCCAAAGUGCCAAGCCAGGCCUGUGUUUCACCCACUGGGACCUUCCUGAACCUCACGGCCACUCCAGGAGCUCCGCUCCAUGUCACCACUGGCUGCCACUGCCACCUCCUCUGCCCUCGUGGUGUAGGGGUCAAAGGCCACAGCAUUGACCCAGGACUUGUGGCCAUGGCCACGGGCCACCACACGGCCUUCAGUGAAG